rnacentral:sRNA from 1 species
GAGUCCCGGGGAGCCGGGGGACACCAGGUUGACUAAGGAGGGGUGAACCGGCCCAGGUCGGAGACGGAGCAGGUCAAAGCUCCCGUGCCGGUCAGUAGCGGGAUCGCGCCUGUGAAUAGCCACUGCAGCGUAGCCUGGGCAACACAGAGAGACGCGGGUUCCUU